rnacentral:tRNA from 1 species
GGUGGCUCAGUGGUAGAGUGCUUGCCUUGCAUGCAUGAGGCCCUGGGUUCGAUUCUCAGUACUA